GACGAACGCUGGCGGCGUGCUUAACACAUGCAAGUCGAACGGAAAGGCCCUGCUUUUGUGGGGUGCUCGAGUGGCGAACGGGUGAGUAACACGUGAGUAACCUGCCCUUGACUUUGGGAUAACUUCAGGAAACUGGGGCUAAUACCGGAUAGGAGCUCCUGCUGCAUGGUGGGGGUUGGAAAGUUUCGGCGGUUGGGGAUGGACUCGCGGCUUAUCAGCUUGUUGGUGGGGUAGUGGCUUACCAAGGCUUUGACGGGUAGCCGGCCUGAGAGGGUGACCGGCCACAUUGGGACUGAGAGACGGCCCAGAGGCCUACGGGAGGCAGGAGUGGGGAAUAUUGCACAAUGGGCGGAGGGCUGAUGGAGCAACGCCGCGUGCGGGAUGACGGCCUUCGGGUUGUAAACCGCUUUCGCCUGUGACGAAGCGUGAGUGACGGUAAUGGGUAAAGAAGCACCGGCUAACUACGU
rnacentral:rRNA from 1 species